rnacentral:rRNA from 1 species
GACGAACGCUGGCGGCGUGCUUAACACAUGCAAGUCGAACGGUGAAGCGCCUUCCUUUUUGGUGGGUGUGGAUGAGUGGCGAACGGGUGAGUAACACGUGAGUAACCUGCCCCCUUCUUCUGGAUAACCGCAUGAAAGUGUGGCUAAUACGGGAUAUUCUGGGUCUGUCGCAUGAUGGGUCUGGGAAAGAUAUUGUUUCGGUGGGGGAUGGGCUCGCGGCCUAUCAGCUUGUUGGUGGGGUGAUGGCCUACCAAGGCGGUGACGGGUAGCCGGCCUGAGAGGGUGGACGGUCACACUGGGACUGAGACACGGCCCAGACUACGACGGGAGGCAGCAGUGGGGAAUAUUGCACAAUGGGCGCAAGCCUGAUGCAGCGACGCCGCGUGAGGGAUGGAGGCCUUCGGGUUGUGAACCUCUUUCGCCAGUGAAGCAGGCCUGCCUCGUUUGUGGGUGGGUUGACGGUAGCUGGAGAAGAAGCGCCGGCUAACUACGUG